rnacentral:rRNA from 1 species
GACGAACGCUGGCGGCGUGCCUAAUACAUGCAAGUCGAACGAACCGCGACUAGGUGCUUGCACUUGGUCAAGGUGAGUGGCGAACGGGUGAGUAACACGUGGGUAACCUACCUCAUAGUGGGGGAUAACAGUCGGAAACGACUGCUAAUACCGCAUAGGACAUAGGAUCACAUGAUCCAGUGAGGAAAGGUGGCGCAAGCUAUCGCUAAGAGAUGGACCCGCGGUGCAUUAGCUAGUUGGUAGGGUAAAGGCCUACCAAGGCGAUGAUGCAUAGCCGACCCGAGAGGGUGACCGGCCACAUUGGGACUGAGACACGGCCCAAACUCCUACGGGAGGCAGCAGUAGGGAAUCUUCCGCAAUGGACGCAAGUCUGACGGAGCAACGCCGCGUGAGUGAAGAAGGUCUUCGGAUCGUAAAGCUCUGUUGUUAGAGAAGAACAGCGCAUAGAGUAACUGUUAUGCGUGUGACGGUAUCUAACCAGAAAGCCACGGCUAACUACGUG